GGUUAAGCGACUAAGCGUACACGGUGGAUGCCCUGGCAGUCAGAGGCGAUGAAGGACGUGCUAAUCUGCGAUAAGCGUCGGUAAGGUGAUAUGAACCGUUAUAACCGGCGAUUUCCGAAUGGGGAAACCCAGUGUGAUUCGUCACACUAUCAUUAACUGAAUCCAUAGGUUAAUGAGGCGAACCGGGGGAACUGAAACAUCUAAGUACCCCGAGGAAAAGAAAUCAACCGAGAUUCCCCCAGUAGCGGCGAGCGAACGGGGAGCAGCCCAGAGCCUGAAUCAGUGUGUGUGUUAGUGGAAGCGUCUGGAAAGGCGCGCGAUACAGGGUGACAGCCCCGUACACAAAAAUGCACAUAUUGUGAGCUCGAUGAGUAGGGCGGGACACGUGGUAUCCUGUCUGAAUAUGGGGGGACCAUCCUCCAAGGCUAAAUACUCCUGACUGACCGAUAGUGAACCAGUACCGUGAGGGAAAGGCGAAAAGAACCCCGGCGAGGGGAGUGAAAAAGAACCUGAAACCGUGUACGUACAAGCAGUGGGAGCCUCUUUAUGGGGUGACUGCGUACCUUUUGUAUAAUGGGUCAGCGACUUAUAUUCUGUAGCAAGGUUAACCGAAUAGGGGAGCCGAAGGGAAACCGAGUCUUAACUGGGCGUUAAGUUGCAGGGUAUAGACCCGAAACCCGGUGAUCUAGCCAUGGGCAGGUUGAAGGUUGGGUAACACUAACUGGAGGACCGAACCGACUAAUGUUGAAAAAUUAGCGGAUGACUUGUGGCUGGGGGUGAAAGGCCAAUCAAACCGGGAGAUAGCUGGUUCUCCCCGAAAGCUAUUUAGGUAGCGCCUCGUGAAUUCAUCUCCGGGGGUAGAGCACUGUUUCGGCAAGGGGGUCAUCCCGACUUACCAACCCGAUGCAAACUGCGAAUACCGGAGAAUGUUAUCACGGGAGACACACGGCGGGUGCUAACGUCCGUCGUGAAGAGGGAAACAACCCAGACCGCCAGCUAAGGUCCCAAAGUCAUGGUUAAGUGGGAAACGAUGUGGGAAGGCCCAGACAGCCAGGAUGUUGGCUUAGAAGCAGCCAUCAUUUAAAGAAAGCGUAAUAGCUCACUGGUCGAGUCGGCCUGCGCGGAAGAUGUAACGGGGCUAAACCAUGCACCGAAGCUGCGGCAGCGACACUAUGUGUUGUUGGGUAGGGGAGCGUUCUGUAAGCCUGUGAAGGUGUGCUGUGAGGCAUGCUGGAGGUAUCAGAAGUGCGAAUGCUGACAUAAGUAACGAUAAAGCGGGUGAAAAGCCCGCUCGCCGGAAGACCAAGGGUUCCUGUCCAACGUUAAUCGGGGCAGGGUGAGUCGACCCCUAAGGCGAGGCCGAAAGGCGUAGUCGAUGGGAAACAGGUUAAUAUUCCUGUACUUGGUGUUACUGCGAAGGGGGGACGGAGAAGGCUAUGUUGGCCGGGCGACGGUUGUCCCGGUUUAAGCGUGUAGGCUGGUUUUCCAGGCAAAUCCGGAAAAUCAAGGCUGAGGCGUGAUGACGAGG
rnacentral:rRNA from 1 species